GGGGAAUAUUGCACAAUGGGGGCAACCCUGAUCCAGCAAUGCCGCGUGUGUGAAGAAGGUCUUCGGAUUGUAAAGCACUUUCGACGGGGACGAUGAUGACGGUACCCGUAGAAGAAGCCCCGGCUAACUUCGUGCCAGCAGCCACGGUAAUACGAAGGGGGCUAGCGUUGCUCGGAAUGACUGGGCGUAAAGGGCGCGUAGGCGGUUGACACAGUCAGGUGUGAAAUUCCCGGGCUUAACCUGGGGGCUGCAUUUGAGACGUGUUGACUAGAGUGUGAGAGAGGGUUGUGGAAUUCUCAGUGUAGAGGUGAAAUUCGUAGAUAUUGGGAAGAACACCGGUGGCGAAGGCGGCAACCUGGCUCAUAACUGACGCUGAGGCGCGAAAGCGUGGGGAGCAAAC
rnacentral:rRNA from 1 species